GCAAGUCGAACGAAGUAGCAAUACUUAGUGGCAGACGGGUGAGUAACAUGUAGGUAUCUACCCUUUGGCCUGGAAUAACACGAGGAAACUUGUGCUAAUACCGGAUAAGUCUUUACGGAGAAAGCUUUAUGCACCAUUGGAUGAGCCUGCAUUUGAUUAGUUUGUUGGUGGGGUAAUGGCCUACCAAGACUUUGAUCAAUAGCUGAUUUGAGAGGAUGAUCAGCCACAUUGGGACUGAGACACGGCCCAAACUCCUACGGGAGGCAGCAGUGGGGAAUCUUGCACAAUGGAGGAAACUCUGAUGCAGCGAUGCCGCGUGAGUGAAGAAGGCCCUUGGGUUGUAAAGCUCUUUCGUCGGGGAAGAAAAUGACUGUACCCGAAUAAGAAGGUCCGGCUAACUUCGUGCCAGCAGCCGCGGUAAUACGAAGGGACCUAGCGUAGUUCGGAAUUACUGGGCUUAAAGAGUUCGUAGGUGGUUGAAAAAGUUGGUGGUGAAAUCCCAGAGCUUAACUCUGGAACUGCCAUCAAAACUUUUCAGCUAGAGUUUGAUAGAGGAAAGCAGAAUUUCUAGUGUAGAGGUGAAAUUCGUAGAUAUUAGAAAGAAUACCAAUUGCGAAGGCAGCUUUCUGGAUCAUUACUGACACUGAGGAACGAAAGCAUGGGUAGCGAAGAGGAUUAGAUACCCUCGUAGUCCAUGCCGUAAACGAUGUGCGUUAGACGUUGGAAAUUUAUUUUCAGUGUCGCAGCGAAAGCGAUAAACACACCGCCUGGGGAGUACGACCGCAAGGUUAAAAC
rnacentral:rRNA from 1 species